rnacentral:rRNA from 1 species
UACGUAGGGUCCAAGCGUUAUCCGGAAUUACUGGGCGUAAAGCGUGUGUAGGCGGCGCGUUAAGUGCAACGCGAAAUCUUGCGGCUCAACCGUAUAGACUGUGUUGCAUACUGGCGUGCUCGAGGACGUGAGAGGCAAGUGGAAUUUGUAGUGUAGCAGUGAAAUGCGUAGAUAUUACAAGGAACACCAAUGGCGAAGGCAGCUUGCUGGCACGUAUCUGACGCUGAGACACGAAAGCGUGGGGAGCGAACAGG